rnacentral:rRNA from 1 species
ACGGCCGUACCAUGCUGAAUAUACCGGUUCUCGUUAGAUCACCGAAGUCAAGCAUCAUUGGGCACGGUCAGUACAUGGGUGGGUGACCACCUGGGAACACCGCGCGCCGUU